GGGGGACAUAUGCUUUCACCAUACGAAAAUACACACACUACUCUCAUCUUCCACCUUGCUCAUAUUUUAAUUAACUUUAGAUAUUGCUUUUCUAUUCUUGAAAAAAGUAAGAACCCUACUAAGGAUUUGGAUCAUCCUUUCUUGCUGUGUUGCUGUCGUGGAUUGAAAGCUUUACUAAAAUUCUUCAUUGCUGAUAAAAUUUCUGCAUAGUUGGUUAACCUUCUUUACUAUUUUAAAUUGCGUUUUUGCAUAAUCAUCAUUGUUUAUAUGUUGGAAAUGAAAC
rnacentral:misc_RNA from 1 species